rnacentral:rRNA from 1 species
GGCAGGUCAGCAUACUGCCGUGAAUACGUUCCCGGGCCCUUGUACACACCGCCCGUCCACACCAUGAGAGUUGGAGAUACCCGAAGCCUAUGAGCUAACUUUUAGAGGCAGCAGUCGAAGGUAGAAUCAAUGAUUGGGGUGAAGUCGUAACAAGGUAUC